GCUCCACAUAAUAUACUGACUGCAGUGUCCUGGGCCUCUCCCAUCCUUAGGUAGCCGGAAAUUACAACAAAAUAAUACUUUUCACCUUUGGAAGCCACACCAUCUCUCAUACCAACCAACCAAUUACUUCCUUAGAGAGAAUAGGAAAUUAACCUGAAUAUCAUAAAAAAAUAUAUAUAUAUAUAGCAUUACUGAUGUAGAAUCUUUGUUUAAAGACAAUAAUUUCAAUAGCAGAGGGAACGUUACCAUUGCAGGCUUCAGAUAACAUGUAUAUUUUUCAGAUUUCAUGCUAAAUCAUAUAAUGCCAUAUUGUGUCUGAAGCUAUUUUUUCAAUAGUCCAUUUUCUUAAAUGGACUAGCAAAGCAGUAAAUACUGAGGAACAUUUUGGCUCCCAAAUCCUAAAGCCAUUCUGAUUAUGCCUGGGUGAUCAUGGGGACGUCAUCGGAACUACCAGAGGACUGGCUGAAAUACCAGUGUUCUGGCCAGCUUACAAUCAGAAAUUAUACAGAAUCCAAUUUUAUUUUUUUGUUAAGUAAUUCCUAUGAGGCUUUUGGGAUGUCAAUGUAAAGUCCUUUCAUGUGUAAUCUUUAUCCAUUAGAUAGGGAACAAUGCCAAUCCCCAUCAUAAAUACUUUCACAACCUGACACUGAAAAUCCACUGUAGGGCAUAGGACCUGCAAAUAGGAUGUGAAUCACACACAUCCACUCAUUCAGACAAUCCACAAAUAUUCAUUUUUAAGUCUACUAUAUGCCAAUAAUGUACCGGCCUCUCAGAUGCUAAACCAUGCUAAAUGCUGAAACAGACAUACUCAGUUCGGGCCCUCCUGGAACUUAUUACCUACAGAAGUGCCUUCAUUGUAAAUGGUCAGGUCUCAGCCAAUGCUAUUAUCAUCAGCAGGUGACCAAAGGAUAGAGCUUGCUUUCUAAACAAGCUCCACACUCUUUGCUUUCAACAUUUUUGUUUUCCUUCAAGGCACAUAAUCCACUGGUCAGUUUCUCCCAGUUAGUGAGGUUUGGGGAAAAGGUACCCAGUGAACAAUUCCUUGUGGCCUCACUCUUUCCUCACACUCUCCUCUGUGCUUUUGAGCUAAAGAGACCUGGAUUAAAGUCACUUGCUCUAACGUUAUUAUUUUAAAAUACGGCUGCUCCUGCUUUGAGGAUUUCCACUGGACCAACACAGCAGCAAAGCAGCACUGAAUCAGAAGCAGAAUGCGAAAUCAACACAAAGGCUGAUUAUGCGACCUCUUCCAAGGGAAUGGUCUGCGAGUUGUCUAUUUACUAAUGAAGCUCAGUGUGUAUUAAGGGUUGACUGAAGCAAUCAUCAGGAAUUUUCAUCCCUUAAAUUAGUCUUUUCUACCAGAUGCACAUCUUUCAUUUCGGAUAAUAUAACUUUUAAGUUCAGGAUACAACUGGACAAAAGAAAAGAAAAAAAGGUAACCAACACAACAUUUGCAGUAAUAACACAGUAAGAGCUCUCAUCCUUCCCUGAGGAAUUCAGCCUACUUUAUGGACGCAAUUUAGUACAAACUCAUAAGAAAGCUAACAAAGCCCCAAACCACUUCACAAGAGCGUAGAGAGGUAAAGGUCAGAAAUUAUUACUGCCAGACCCAGCAGACAAUGGCACCUACCGGAAAGAGCACAGGACAGGAAAACCUGGAAGCCUGUGUUCCAGUUUCGGUUAUUCCUUUAAGCACUAGUACGAUCUGAGUGAACUCAGCCUGCCUUGCUUUUUCCGUUUAUAAAAACCUACAUCAUCCUCUCAGUAGAAUGAAAUGCCACAUCUGAAAAGUUGCAGAUCUCUUUAGGAAAGAAAAAAGCUCAUGCUUUCCAACCAAAAUGGAAUAAUUCAGUCAAUGGAGACUUAAUAAAAAUCUGCCAUAAAGCAAUUGUUUACUUGAAA